rnacentral:rRNA from 1 species
UUCCGGUUGAUCCUGCCGGACCCGACUGCUAUUUGGGUGAGGAUAAGCCAUGCGAGUCGAAUGGGAUACCUAAAUUUCCCAUGGCGAACUGCUCAAUAACACAUGAUCAACUUACCCUAUAGAGAAAAAUAACCUCGGGAAACUGAGGAUAAUGUUUCAUAGUUGAAAAGGCUUGGAAAAGUUUUUCGACCAAAGGGAUAAGAAAAAUGGUUUUUAUCCGCUAUAGGAUAGGAUCGUGGUCGAUUAUGGUCGUUGGUGAGGUAAUGGCUCACCAAGCCGAUAAUCGAUAGGGGCCGUGAGAGCGGGAGCCCCGAGAUGGGUACUGAGACAGCGACCCAGGCCUUACGAGGCGCAGCAGGCGCGGAACCUCCGCAAUACACGAAAGUGUGACGGGGUUACCCAAAGUGUUCAAUUUUGAACUGUGGUAGGUGAGUAAUGUUCCCUACUAGAAAGGAGAGGGCAAGGCUGGUGCCAGCCGCCGCGGUAAAACCAGCUCUUCAAGUGGUCGGGAUAAUUAUUGGGCUUAAAGUGUCCGUAGCCGGUUUAGUAAGUUCCUGGUAAAAUCGGGUAGCUUAACUAUCUGCAUGCUAGGAAUACUGCUAUACUAGAGGACGGGAGAGGUCUGAGGUACUACAGGGGUAGGGGUGAAAUCUUAUAAUCCUUGUAGGACCACCAGUGGCGAAGGCGUCAGGCUGGAACGUGCCUGACGGUGAGGGACGAAAGCCAGGGGAGCGAACCGGAUUAGAUACCCGGGUAGUCCUGGCCGUAAACGAUGCAUACUAGGUGAUGGCAUGGCCAUGAGCCGUGUCAGUGCCGUAGGGAAACCGUUAAGUGUGCCGCCUGGGAAGUACGGUCGCAAGGCUAAAACUUAAAGGAAUUGGCGGGGGAGCACCACAAGGGGUGAAGCCUGCGGGUUCAAUUGGAUUCAACGCCC